AGGACUAACGCUGGCGGCGUGCCUAACACAUGCAAGUCGAACGAGGUAGCAAUACCUAGUGGCAGACGGGUGAGUAACGCGUGGUCAACCUACCUCUUAGUGGGGGAUAACUAGCCGAAAGGUUAGCUAAUACCGCAUACGAUCGUCGCGAGGCAUCUCGUGACGAUGAAAGGAGCAAUUCGCUAAGAGAGGGGACUGCGUCCCAUUAGUUAGUUGGUGGGGUAAUGGCCCACCAAGACUCCGAUGGGUAGCUGGCUUGAGAGAGCGACCAGCCACACUGGAACUGAGACACGGUCCAGACUCCUACGGGAGGCAGCAGUGAGGAAUUUUCCGCAAUGGGCGCAAGCCUGACGGAGCGACGCCGCGUGUGGGAAGAAGGCCUUCGGGUCGUAAACCACUGUCGAAGGGGACGAUAUUGACGGUACCCUUGGAGGAAGCCCGGCUAACGUACGCGCCAGCAGCCGC
rnacentral:rRNA from 1 species